rnacentral:misc_RNA from 1 species
GAUGAAGAACGUAGCGAAAUGCGAUAAGUAGUGUGAAUUGCAGAAUUCCGUGAAUCAUCGAAUCUUUGAACGCACAUUGCGCCUCCUGGUAAUCCAUGAGGCAUGCCUGUCCGAGCGUCAGUAAAAAGCAACUCGGCCGCGGCUGGCGGUUGGUGAUGGAGGAAGAGCACGUCUCGUUGUCGGUCUCCCCUCCCAAAAUCAACGGCGGAAUGUCACUGGCACUCGGUGUUGUAGUAUUAUUCGCCGAUCACCCAUUGUUGUUCCUGCCGCCCAAACCCCCACAAUUCUCUUGAUUGACCUCGGAUCAGGUAGGGAUACCCGCUGAACUUAAGCAUAUCAAUAAGCGGAGGA